UUCUGUCUCCCAUGCCACUAGAUGGUGCUAGGAAUCCUUGCACGAUCUCUGCCAUAGCACUGCAAUGGAAUUACAACUAAGUAGUGCCUUUAUAACUAGAUUUGAGGGAAGUGCUGAAAGUAUUUCAGCAACAGUAAUGACCCUGGUGGUUUCCAGCCAUCCCACUGACAUGCAGCUAACCAGCAACUGUUUUAACAGGAAAGAGAACAGAGAGGUUCUUAACCAGAGAGGUUCUUUUGUUACAGGGUGUAACAAAAGAACUGAUCUCAAAAUAGUUAUAUAUAGUUCCUCUGUGAUCUUAAAAAUGCCAGCAGUUCUGACACUUUAUACUUCCCACUUAAGUUCCACCGUAACUGAAUUUAUGCAUGUGCAUGACAACUAUCAACCAGAAAUAUGCAGGCUGUAGUUAUGAGGUUUUUCCAUAUGUGUUCCUAUCUAGUUUGAUUAAGUUGCAGGAGGGGGAGAGGGAGCUUCAUGCCCAGCAAUGCUCUAUGCACUUUUCUUUAAAAAUAUAUGUGAUUACAUUAAUAAGAAACACUGAACAUAUAUUAUGGCAACAUCCAAAGCCACCUUGAGUAGAUAAAGUGUUAAGGUUAUUGUUAAGUGAGCAUUUUGUUGAAGACAGAUAAUUUAUUGCAUUCAUUUAUGAAAUGUCUAAAUUUGUUUGAUGCAGGAAAAAUUGUCUUUCAAAGUAUUAUUUUUCUGAUACUUACUGCCAGACACAUUUGGUGCAACCUAUCAUUCUCCAAAGAUGCAUGGUAUUUCCUUAGAGUAAGUUUCAAUCCACUGCAGUAGGACCUGACCAAAAGCUUCACUGAUACCAUAGGGGAUCUAUGUUUUUCUCUCCAUACUUCAGGAAUCUUACUAUCCCAAACAUGGAUAAGUAAUUUGAGCUGCCCAUAGAUUGCAAUAUGUCCAGGCAAUGCAGCAUCUUUGAGCACAUGAAUAAGUGUUUAAUCUUUAAAUGUGCUCCCAUAAAUUCAUAUAACUAUAGAUUAUAGAUAUAUUUAAGACUGAAAAAUAAAGGUAAAAACACGUGUAAAGCUUAAACCUUU
rnacentral:lncRNA from 1 species